CCCGAAAGAUCGAAUGAGGAGACUCAUCGUCAGCGGGAUCGGCUUCCAUGUGGUUCGCAUGAUCUGAGACUUGUACUUACGUGCAUGUUCAAUUUCACGCUUCCGCUGUGGCAUGUCUGGUUUCGUCGGCGUGCACUUCUCCUCUAGUAGAACGUCGCGACCCGCUGGGUGUCGGUUUAAGGGCCGAGAUUGAAGACUGUUUCGUCGCUUCGGCGUGCGAUUACAGGCGCUUGGACUCCCGACCGGCUGCUCGGCGGUAUACAAACAAGGUAUCGAGCCGCACUCGUAUGCGUUCAGACUCGUCGCAAGCCCGACCAUUGUUAGUCCUGGAGUUACGGACUUGGCGCCGUACCCGGGGAUGGUUAGCUGUUGGUUGACGAUGUUCUCGAACCGGCUUAACUCGAAUGCGAUACCGGUCAGCGACGCUAUUGCUUUGGGUACUUCAGGA
rnacentral:rRNA from 1 species